CCAUAACUCACUGGGAAACUCCAUAGCGGUAUCCGCAUAGCCCCUCACAGGGUCCUCGUGGUUUGGCCCAUAAGUCCGUCUAUUGCCCAUUAAUUGGAAACGAAGCUCUUUUGUGGAUCUCCUGCACUUAUCCGCCCCUUUGGAGCCAGAGUAAAGGAAAUAAAUUGAAAUUUCCUGAAAGUCCCUUCUGUGUGUCAUAGAGGAGGGGGUGUCCUCCAGGGGCUACAGGAGGCUUUUCCAUCAGACAGGAAGUGAAGGUUUUGGGCUCGCAGCCAGCUGAGUCUACUCCUCUGGCGCGACACAAGACAGGAAGCUGACAUAAAAGAAUGGAGGGGACUGUCUGUGAGGGACACAGGAGCCAAGGCAGGAGUCAAGACAGAAGCCACCGACGAGGUCGGAAGUUAUUGUUUCAGCUUACAGGCAUCCACGGUGACAAGAGUCUUAUCCCUCUAUCGCACAAAUUGUGAUCCCAUGGUGAUGGGCCCAAGUGUGGAAAACAUUCCAGGACAGGAACCUCAUCACUAGAGUUUCUCCCUGCCCAAAUGCUGUCAUUUGGCCCACGAGUAAAGCAUUUAACACCCUAAAUACUCCAGUGGAACACUUGCUGGCCAAUAACACAACACUGCAGUUGUGAAAAAGAAGGCGACAGGUGUAUAACUUUUUAGACCAACCCUAUUGCAACUAUUCCUGAACAAUGUGAUGAGAUGUGUUUCAACUUCCCUCGCUAAAAUGGGCUAACAUGACUAAGGAUCUUCACCAGUACACACACUUGCCCUCUUGAGCACUGAAAGGCAUGACCAUGUGCUGUCAGGUAGUAGGCAAGUGUGUCAGGACAACUCUAAAGUCCCUUUCCCACCAUACAAAAAACCCCAUAAACACCCUUUACCAUCUGACGCAAGCAGCAGACAUAGGGCAUAGAGCGACACUAUUCAAUCAAUAGUAAUUCUUUGUCCAAACUCUGGUCCUCAAGAUCUAGGGUACUGUUCUCUGCUCAGCCAAAUUUUCAUGAUUGAUCUAGUAUCUUAUCUAAAUUAGUCCCUAUUUGACAGGUAGAAUACAAUCAGCAGAGUGCACAAUUGGGAAAAUUGGAAACCACUGCUUGGUAACUUUUCUCUGAUUUCUUACUUUAAAGCAGUCACCACAUUGCUUCCACUCAUACAUCCAUGCACUUCUGAUUAAAUUACAGUGUAUUGCUCUGGAACCAUACCUGUCAUAAAUACUGUAUUAUUUAACCCUCUGACAUUGACAUAGUCACAUUCUGUCUUUAACCAUUCUCCCUCUUUUUUCAUCUUUGCUACCCAAGCAUAUGUCCCUUAUGUCUUCAGAUAUUUCCCUACUCUCCUGAUAGAGCAAUUCUUUAGCUCUAUCAUCAGACUUUUUUUUCUAUCUGGUAUUCUCCCUGUUGCCAAGCUGACUUGGGUGGUAUUAUUUCUGUCCUAGCUGCCCCUAGCCUCACACCUUCUGUUAUCCAACAGGCCUCUAAUCACUUGUCAUUUCCACUUCACACUCUACUCCCCUCUUUUGGCUGUCCUGUCUGCUAUUCCCCUGACUCGCUGGCCCUGACUGCAUGCCUUUUACUACUUCAGAAUGCAGGUUUUACAUUCCAAUUCAACCUUUCACCCCCAUUUGUAUUUUGUAUUAUGUGGGUGUGAGUAUUUAGCACAAAGAAUGUCUACUUAGAUAUACACACAUUAAUUCCGACUUUCCCUUAGUUUGACUGGCUGGGUUAUUUACACUUCCUGUCAACAUAAGCUUGAUAGACAAUAGGACAAUUGUCUAACAUUAAGUGAUAAUCUGAUUACUCCAGAAAUUUACAGGCAACACUAAAGCAUUAUUCUGGCCUUUGUGCCUUGCUCUUACUCGCCUUUCUUCAUUUGCACCAAAAUAAAGCAAUAAAUACUGUAUAUUCAAUUGCAACCAUGUUUCUUUUGCAUCCAACUAAAAUUUCAUUUGGUUUCUUAUCUAAACCUCCUCGUUAUUUUCUCUCUCUAUCUUUAUCAGCUCUACAUAACUGCUGGGCUGCACUGUGAAAGAACAAAGACCUCCCAUUAGGUAGUUAUCUCUCACUGUAUUAAUCCCUGAGUGUGCACACACUCAUUUAGCCAGUGCAUUUGAUUCUAAUAAAACUGAUGGCCAUUGUUGACAAUGUAGACGCACAGAUGGUGCACUCAAAAGCAAAAGCGAAGCCGUCACAGCACACAAGUGUUCUCAACUGCUGUAGCUGGUAAGCUACACAAAAUUGAACCUUUGGAGGGCAGCAGCAUGUACAGAAUGUCAUGUGAUGAGGAGCAACCAUUUUUCCUUUCUUCCGUAAAUAUCAGUCUACGGUAACUAUGAAGGAGAAGCUCAUAGUCUUAGUGCAGAGCUACCCAGAGCUGUCCGCCCUGUCCAGCGCCAUGAAUAUAUUAAUAGCUUACACACUUAUGACGAAUAACGACUGGAGCAACUUGCCAAGUAGGUUAUGGUUGCUUAGCAACAUCAGGCGCAACCUGCCUCUGCUCCCCUUGAAAGUUGGCACACAAGCAGCACCUAGCACCCGACCUUGCAGUGACCCCAGUGCCAGAAAAGCAAUAUGCUGGGGCCAGGUGGCUGCCAUGUGAGACUCAUGGCAAUGAUUGGGACAACGUAAGCAUCACGUGUAAGAGGACACGCUGUCUCCUAUAAAUUAAGACUAAUUUGUUUUGCAAAAUACAUUAAGAAGAAAACAGAAUUGCCACCUUGGAUUGUGUUUUACGGCGGUGUUUUUCUAAGCGAAGAAAGAACUACAACGUUCUGCACGUAAGUCGUAUAGAAAUGGUUUAUGGGAUGGUAGCCACCCAAAAACCUGAGACAGAGGUUCACAUCCAUCAUGGGUGCCUCAUGUUGUUAGAUUUAGGCAACAAAAGCAGGUUGGUUAAGGUCAUGAAAAGAUCCUGGUUUUGGUUAAAUGUUAAUAAAGUAAACACUGCAUGUCUUGUGGUUCAAGUGUAACAGUCUGUGUCCAGAUUCUUUCAUUGCCAUUUUGCAUCCAUCCACCAGGUGCCCUCGGACUAUCCCUUCUUUCCCCAUCACCUGACUGCCCCAUCCAUCUACACACCUGUUUCCACUUCCCUAAUCUGCUCUGCAGUCACCUGAGCUAAGCUGCAGCUCAUUCCCUCAUUACUCGCUAUAAAUACUAGUCAAGAUGUUUAGUUUGCUUUCAGUUUAUCAAAGUUGCGAUUGGAUUUUCUGUCAAUGAUUCCAGCUUUUGUACCAGACCUACUGCCUAAUUUGGACGUUUUGCCUGCUCCCUGCCUGGUCAGGUCUACCUUCCUUUGUUUGUUUGCUUGCAAGCCUGUACAUACUUACUUUGGCAAUAAAUUACUGAACUGAUGCUACCUGCCUGCUUAGUCUGUUU